ensembl:lncRNA
CCACAGUGAGGGGAACAGCAAGCUAUUAUCCGGCCCAGUGUUAUCUGCCAAUCAGGACCUAGAGGAUCGGGGUUGUUUCACACACACACAAGGACCCUUUCUCUCUCCUCUACACACACACACACAAGCCUGGGAUUCCAACACACAGCCGCGCUUUCUUACAGUGAAUCAGCUGCCAAGCUGGGCUGGAGCGGAGCUGUGGAAACAACACCCAGACAGACACCUGAAGAGUCUCCCACAUCCUGACGGGCAUACACACGUGCACAUGUACUCGACGGAACCACACACGCGGUAGAACCACACACGCGGCAGAGCUGGUGACAAGACAUGCCUAGAGGAAGUGUUGAAACUGUAUGUUAGUCAUGAGACACCAUUAGACAGUUUGGGUGAUGAAUGAACCUACAUCAGGUGUGAAAGACUGCCCUGCACAGCCAUGCCCUGCGCUCACAAAUCACCAGGACAGAGGGCCAGCCAGUUGACGGGGGAGGGAGAGCACCUCGUCUGUCUCUGUCUCUCUGAUGUCGGACGCUUGGGGUCAAAAGGUUAAUCCAAAAACAAAAACACACCACCUAGGCUACAACGUACUGGCAGAUGGAGAGCGAGAGGAUGGACAGUUAUAGAGUGAAAGAGAAACAAAGAAAGUGUAAGAGUUAAAUAGGGAGUGAGAGAGAAAGACCUGCACUUCAGAACCUGGAACAACGAAUUCUGUAACAGAAUGUUUCUUCAGUUGUUCUGGAAACCUGGGCCUCGAUCCAGAAAGUGUCAGAGUGUCAGAGAGCUGAUAUAGGGAAUCAUAAUGAAUACGAAUAUAUGGACCCCAUCCUAGAUCAACACACCUUUUGUGAGAUGCUGUGUUGAUACGGGUCCAGACCGUCACUCUCUUGUCCUCCCAGAAAACCACAGCCGAAUAACUACACAUUUAUACCCAUUCUCCCACUCUCUAAGAAUAACUUUUUUACUUAACCAGACAAAAAUGUUUACAGGGGACAUGAAUCAUAGGGUCAAAAGCAGCUCACAGUUAAUUGUGGUGCCAGAAACAGAGAGAGGGAUAUAGAGAGAGCAAAAGAGAUGGAAAAGACAGAAUGAUAGAGAGGGAAGGUAUGAGAGAUGGAGGGAGGGAAGGAGGGAGGGAGAAAGAAAGGGUGAUCAAGAGACAGAGUCAAUGAGCGAGAUGGAGAGAGGAAGAAACAGAAGAACAGAGAGAGGAAGGACACAAUGAGAGAGCAGUAGACAGAGGGGGUCAGUGGAAAGCUCAGGGAGGAGAGAGAGGGGGGACGGUCUUAUUAGACCAGGCUUAACAUGGGGCAUUUUCUGUUCUGCAGACAGACCCAGCUUAGCUCUGGCUCCCAGGGAGACAUCCACCGGACUGGGAGGGAAGGAGGGCACAGUUCAGUCUGAUCGAAAACACAUGGUCCCACACUUGUCAGUUCACUUUCUUCAGCUAGUGAUUUUACCUGUGUUUGAGUUGUGAUACCACAUGUAUUUGAGUUGUGAUACCACAUGUAUUUGAGUUGUGAUACCACAUGUAUUUGAGUUGUGAUAC